rnacentral:rRNA from 1 species
AUUGAACGCUGGCGGCAUGCUUUACACAUGCAAGUCGAACGGUAACAGGCCGCAAGGUGCUGACGAGUGGCGAACGGGUGAGUAAUGCAUCGGAACGUGCCCAGUCGUGGGGGAUAACUACUCGAAAGAGUAGCUAAUACCGCAUACGAUCUAUGGAUGAAAGCGGGGGACCGUAAGGCCUCGCGCGAUUGGAGCGGCCGAUGUCAGAUUAGGUAGUUGGUGGGGUAAAGGCUCACCAAGCCAACGAUCUGUAGCUGGUCUGAGAGGACGACCAUCCACACUGGGACUGAGACACGGCCCAGACGCCUACGGGAGGCAGCAGUGGGGAAUUUUGGACAAUGGGCGCAAGCCUGAUCCAGCAAUGCCGCGUGCAGGAAGAAGGCCUUCGGGUUGUAAACUGCUUUUGUACGGAACGAAACGGCUCUGGUUAAUACCCGGGGCUAACGACGGUACCGUAAGAAUAAGCACCGGCUAACUACGUG